UACGUAGGGUGCAAGCGUUGUCCGGAAUUAUUGGGCGUAAAGAGCGUGUAGGCGGCCCGAUUAGUCCGCUGUGAAAGUCCAGGGCUCAACCCUGGAAUGCCGGUGGAUACUGUCGGGCUAGAGUCCGGAAGGGGCGAGUGGAAUUCCUGGUGUAGCGGUGAAAUGCGCAGAUAUCAGGAGGAACACCAAUGGCGAAGGCAGCUCGCUGGGACGUGACUGACGCUGAGACACGAAAGCGUGGGUAGCAAACAGG
rnacentral:rRNA from 1 species